rnacentral:rRNA from 1 species
UGCAAGUCGAACGGCAGCGCGGACUUCGGUCUGGCGGCGAGUGGCGAACGGGUGAGUAAUGCAUCGGAACGUGCCCAGUAGCGGGGGAUAACUACGCGAAAGCGUAGCUAAUACCGCAUACGCCCUACGGGGGAAAGGGGGGGAUCGCAAGACCUCUCACUAUUGGAGCGGCCGAUGUCGGAUUAGCUAGUUGGUGGGGUAAAGGCCUACCAAGGCGACGAUCCGUAGCUGGUUUGAGAGGACGACCAGCCACACUGGGACUGAGACACGGCCCAGACUCCUACGGGAGGCAGCAGUGGGGAGAUUUUGGACAAUGGGGGCAACCUGAUCCAGCCAUGCCGCGUGUGCGAAGAAGGCUUCGGGUGUAAAGCACUUUCGGCAGGAAAGAAACGGCGCCGGGCUAAUAUCUGGCGUAACUGACGGUACCUGCAGAAUAAGCACUGGCUAACUACGUGCCAGCAGCCGCGGUAAUACGUAGGGUGCAAGCGUUAAUCGGAAUUACUGGGCGUAAAGCGUGCGCAGGCGGUUCGGAAAGAAAGAUGUGAAAUCCCAGGGCUCAACCUUGGAACUGCAUUUUUAACUCCCGAACUAGAGUGUGUCAGAGGGGGGGUGGAAUUCCACGUGUAGCAGUGAAAUGCGUAGAUAUGUGGAGGAACACCGAUGGCGAAGGCAGCCCCCUGGGAUAACACUGACGCUCAUGCACGAAAGCGUGGGGAGCAAACAGGAUUAGAUACCCUGGUAGUCCACGCCCUAAACGAUGUCAACUAGCUGUUGGGUUCUUCGGAGCUUGGUAGCGCAGCUAACGCGUGAAGUUGACCGCCUGGGGAGUACGGUCGCAAGAUUAAAACUCAAAGGAAUUGACGGGGACCCGCACAAGCGGUGGAUGAUGUGGAUUAAUUCGAUGCAACGCGAAAAACCUUACCUACCCUUGACAUGUCUGGAAUCCCGAAGAGAUUUGGGAGUGCUCGAAAGAGAACCGGAACACAGGUGCUGCAUGGCCGUCGUCAGCUCGUGUCGUGAGAUGUUGGGUUAAGUCCCGCAACGAGCGCAACCCUUGUCAUUAGUUGCUACGAAAGGGCACUCUAAUGAGACUGCCGGUGACAAACCGGAGGAAGGUGGGGAUGACGUCAGGUCCUCAUGGCCCUUAUGGGUAGGGCUUCACACGUCAUACAAUGGUCGGGACAGAGGGCAGCCAACCCGCGAGGGGGAGCCAAUCCCAGAAACCCGAUCGUAGUCCGGAUUGCAGUCUGCAACUCGACUGCAUGAAGUCGGAAUCGCUAGUAAUCGCGGAUCAGCAUGUCGCGGUGAAUACGUUCCCGGGUCUUGUACACACCGCCCGUCACACCAUGGGAGUGGGUUCUACCAGAAGUAGGUAGCCUAACCGCAAGGAGGGCGCU